UAGGGAAUCUUCGGCAAUGGACGAAAGUCUGACCGAGCAACGCCGCGUGAGUGAAGAAGGUUUUCGGAUCGUAAAACUCUGUUGGUAGAGAAGAACGUUGGUGAGAGUGGAAAGCUCAUCAAGUGACGGUAACUACCCAGAAAGGGACGGCUAACUACGUGCCAGCAGCCGCGGUAAUACGUAGGUCCCCGAGCGUUGUCCGGAUUUAUUGGGCGUAAAGC
rnacentral:rRNA from 1 species